AUCCAUCUGACGAGUCCCAGGUAAGACGAAAUGCGCGUUCUAGAU
rnacentral:hammerhead_ribozyme from 1 species